GAUGAACGCUGGCGGCGUGCCUAAUACAUGCAAGUCGAGCGAACAGACGAGGAGCUUGCUCCUCUGACGUUAGCGGCGGACGGGUGAGUAACACGUGGAUAACCUACCUAUAAGACUGGGAUAACUUCGGGAAACCGGAGCUAAUACCGGAUAAUAUAUUGAACCGCAUGGUUCAAUAGUGAAAGACGGUUUUGCUGUCACUUAUAGAUGGAUCCGCGCCGCAUUAGCUAGUUGGUAAGGUAACGGCUUACCAAGGCGACGAUGCGUAGCCGACCUGAGAGGGUGAUCGGCCACACUGGAACUGAGACACGGUCCAGACUCCUACGGGAGGAAGCAGUAGGGAAUCUUACGCAAUGGGCGAAAGCCUGACGGAGCAACGCCGCGUGAGUGAUGAAGGUCUUCGGAUCGUAAAACUCUGUUAUUAGGGAAGAACAAAUGUGUAAGUAACUAUGCACGUCUUGACGGUACCUAAUCAGAAAGCCACGGCUAACUACGUG
rnacentral:rRNA from 1 species